rnacentral:rRNA from 1 species
UGGGGAAUCUUGGACAAUGGACGAAAGUCUGAUCCAGCAAUACCGCGUGAAUGAUGAAGGCCUUAGGGUUGUAAAGUUCUUUCGAUGGGGAAGAUAAUGACGGUACCCAUAUAAGAAGCUCCGGCUAACUCCGUGCCAGCAGCCGCGGUAAUACGGAGGGAGCUAGCGUUGUUCGGAAUUACUGGGCGUAAAGAGCGCGUAGGCGGUCAAUUAAGUUGGGAGUGAAAUCCCAGGGCUUAACCCUGGAAUUGCUUUCAAAACUGAUUGACUAGAGUACGAUAGAGGAUGGUGGAAUUCCUAGUGUAGAGGUGAAAUUCUUAGAUAUUAGGAGGAACAUCAGAGGCGAAGGCGGCCAUCUGGGUCGUUACUGACGCUGAGGUGCGAAAGCGUGGGGAGCAAACAGG